CCUACGGGAGGCAGCAGCUAAGAAUAUUCCGCAAUGGACGAAAGUCUGACGGAGCGACGCCGCGUGAACGAAGAAAGCCGGAAGGUUGUAAAGUUCUUUUGAAACUGAAGAAUAAGUAUUGCAGGGAAUGGCGAUAUGGUGACGGUAGGUUUUGAAUAAGCAACGGCUAAUUACGUGCCAGCAGCCGCGGUAACACGUAAGUUGCGAGCGUUGUUCAGAAUUAUUGGGCGUAAAGGGCAUGUAGGCGGUUUUGCAAGCUUGGUGUGAAAUGCAUAGGCUCAACCUAUGAACUGCAUUGAGAACUACAAGACUUGAGUUACUGAGGUGGAACUGGAAUUCCAGGUGUAGGGGUGAAAUCUGCAGAUAUCUGGAAGAACACCAAUGGCGAAGGCAAGUUUCAAGCAGAUAACUGACGCUGAGGUGCGAAGGUGCGGGGAGCAAACAGGAUUAGAUACCCUAGUAGUC
rnacentral:rRNA from 1 species